rnacentral:rRNA from 1 species
ACUCAAAGGAAUUGACGGGGGCCCGCACAAGUGGUGGAGCAUGUGGUUUAAUUCGAUGAUACGCGAGGAACCUUACCUAGGCUAGAAUGCGCGUGACCGGUCCAGAGAUGGACUUUUCCUUCGGGACACAAAGCAAGGUGCUGCAUGGCCGUCGUCAGCUCGUGCCGUGAGGUGUUGGGUUAAGUCCCGCAACGAGCGCAACCCCUAUGUUUAGUUGCCAGCGGAUAAUGCCGGGGACUCUAGACAGACUGCCUGCGCAAGCAGUGAGGAAGGCGGGGACGACGUCAGGUCAUCAUGGCCCUUACGCCUAGGGCGACACACGUGCUACAAUGGACGGUACAGCGGGUAGCUACACAGCGAUGUGAUGCCAAUCUCGAAAAGCCGUUCUCAGUUCGGAUCGGAGUCUGCAACUCGACUCCGUGAAGCUGGAAUCACUAGUAAUCGCGCAUCAGCCAUGGCGCGGUGAAUACGUUCCCGGGCCUUGUACACACCGCCCGU